rnacentral:rRNA from 1 species
UACGAAGGGGGCGAGCGUUGUUCGGAUUUACUGGGCGUAAAGGGCGCGUAGGCGGCCAUCUUUGUCAGGCGUGAAAGCCCCGGGCUCAACCCAGGAAGUGCAUUCGAAACUGCAGAGCUGGAGUCCUGGAGAGGAAGGCGGAAUUCUCGGUGUAGCGGUGAAAUGCGUAGAGAUCGGGAGGACACCAGUGGCGAAGGCGGCCUUCUGGACCAGCACUGACACUCAAGCACGAAAGCGUGGGGAGCAAACAGG